rnacentral:lncRNA from 1 species
UUUCCAGUAGGGACUGUGAUAUAGAAAGGUUUAUCAAGUGAUUGUAUUCCUUCUAAUAUUGAGCAAAAAUGAGUCAUAUGAUGGGAUGCGCCACUAUCCAAGAUCCAUUGGAUCUCUCCAUUACCAGCCAUGUCAGCAAAUGAUGAUGAUCCUACAUUCUUCAUCCGCAUUCCAUGCAGGGCGUGGCCUUUAUUCGCCGCAUUUACAUCAUCUUUGUCAACAUGAGUUGUAUGUGC